GCGCGGGGGGUGGGGGGCCCCCCCCCCCGCCGGCAUCCCGGCCGUCGGUGAAAUACCACUACUCUGAUUGUUUUUUCACUUACCCGGUGAGGCGGAGGGGUGAGCCCCGAGGGGGGGGGGUCCCGCUUGUGGCACCAAGCACCUGGCGCGCGCCAGGCGCGUCCCACUCCGGAGACAGCGGCAGGUGGGGAGUUUGAUUGGGGCGGUACACCUGGCAAAGCUAACGCAGGUGUCCUAAGGUGAGCU
rnacentral:ncRNA from 1 species